rnacentral:rRNA from 1 species
ACACGUGGUAUCCUGUCUGAAUAUGGGGGGACCAUCCUCCAAGGCUAAAUACUCCUGACUGACCGAUAGUGAACCAGUACCGUGAGGGAAAGGCGAAAAGAACCCCGGCGAGGGGAGUGAAAAAGAACCUGAAACCGUGUACGUACAAGCAGUGGGAGCACGCUUAGGCGUGUGACUGCGUACCUUUUGUAUAAUGGGUCAGCGACUUAUAUUCUGUAGCAAGGUUAACCGAAUAGGGGAGCCGAAGGGAAACCGAGUCUUAACUGGGCGUUAAGUUGCAGGGUAUAGACCCGAAACCCGGUGAUCUAGCCAUGGGCAGGUUGAAGGUUGGGUAACACUAACUGGAGGACCGAACCGACUAAUGUUGAAAAAUUAGCGGAUGACUUGUGGCUGGGGGUGAAAGGCCAAUCAAACCGGGAGAUAGCUGGUUCUCCCCGAAAGCUAUUUAGGUAGCGCCUCGUGAAUUCAUCUCCGGGGGUAGAGCACUGUUUCGGCAAGGGGGUCAUCCCGACUUACCAACCCGAUGCAAACUGCGAAUACCGGAGAAUGUUAUCACGGGAGACACACGGCGGGUGCUAACGUCCGUCGUGAAGAGGGAAACAACCCAGACCGCCAGCUAAGGUCCCAAAGUCAUGGUUAAGUGGGAAACGAUGUGGGAAGGCCCAGACAGCCAGGAUGUUGGCUUAGAAGCAGCCAUCAUUUAAAGAAAGCGUAAUAGCUCACUGGUCGAGUCGGCCUGCGCGGAAGAUGUAACGGGGCUAAACCAUGCACCGAAGCUGCGGCAGCGACGCUGAUGCGUUGUUGGGUAGGGGAGCGUUCUGUAAGCCUGCGAAGGUGUGCUGUGAGGCAUGCUGGAGGUAUCAGAAGUGCGAAUGCUGACAUAAGUAACGAUAAAGCGGGUGAAAAGCCCGCUCGCCGGAAGACCAAGGGUUCCUGUCCAACGUUAAUCGGGGCAGGGUGAGUCGACCCCUAAGGCGAGGCCGAAAGGCGUAGUCGAUGGGAAACAGGUUAAUAUUCCUGUACUUGGUGUUACUGCGAAGGGGGGACGGAGAAGGCUAUGUUGGCCGGGCGACGGUUGUCCCGGUUUAAGCGUGUAGGCUGGUUUUCCAGGCAAAUCCGGAAAAUCAAGGCUGAGGCGUGAUGACGAGGCACUACGGUGCUGAAGCAACAAAUGCCCUGCUUCCAGGAAAAGCCUCUAAGCAUCAGGUAACAUCAAAUCGUACCCCAAACCGACACAGGUGGUCAGGUAGAGAAUACCAAGGCGCUUGAGAGAACUCGGGUGAAGGAACUAGGCAAAAUGGUGCCGUAACUUCGGGAGAA